rnacentral:rRNA from 1 species
UGCCGGUGUUAAACCGGAGGAAGGUGGGGAUGACGUCAAGUCCUCAUGGCCCUUAUGGCUGGGGCUACACACGUGCUACAAUGGUAUCUACAGAACGCAGCGAAGCCGCGAGGUGGAGCGAAUCGUCAAAAAGAUAUCUCAGUUCGGAUUGGAGUCUGCAACUCGACUCCAUGAAGCUGGAAUCGCUAGUAAUCGAAGAUCAGAAUGCUUCGGUGAAUACGUUCCCGGGCCUUGUACACACCGCCCGUCACACCAUGGGAGCUAAGUGCUCCAGAAGUCCGUGAGCUAACCUUCGGGAGGCAGCGGCCCAAGGAGUGAUUAGUGACUGGGGUG